GGAGAGAUGGCAGAGUGGCCGAAUGCACACCCUUGCUAAGGGUGCGACUGGUUAAUCGCCGGUCCGAGGGUUCGAAUCCCUCUCUCUCCGCCA
rnacentral:tRNA from 1 species